rnacentral:pre_miRNA from 1 species
UCUUAUGGAUGAGCAAAAAAAUAGUUUCUUGAGAUGGAAUCUACUCCUGGUGAAGAUACCAUGAGCA